rnacentral:tRNA from 1 species
GGGCUCGUAGUCUAGAGGUUAUGAUGUCGCCUUGACACGGCGGAGGUCGAGGGUUCGAAUCCCUCCGAGCCCA